rnacentral:tRNA from 2 species
GCCGGGGUGGCGAAAUUGGUUAGACGCGCUUGGCUUAAAACCGAGUGCCUUCGGGCAUGAGGGUUCGAUUCCCUCCCCCGGCA